ACUCGCCUGCAUGAAGCUGGAAUUGCUAGUAAUCGCGGAUCAGCAAGCCGCGGUGAAUACGUUCCCGGGCCUUGUACACACCGCCCGUCACACCAUGAGAGUCGGGAACACCCGAAGUCCGUAGUCUAACCGCAAGGGGGGCGCGGCCGAAGGUGGGUCCGGUAAUUGGGGUGAAGUCGUAACAAGGUACC
rnacentral:rRNA from 1 species